rnacentral:rRNA from 1 species
AGGACGACGCUGGCGGCGUGCCUAAUACAUGCAAGUCGAACGGUCUUUUCUAUGGAGGCUUGCUUCCACUGAGAAGAUAGUGGCGAACGGGUGAGUAACACGUGGGUAACCUGCCCAUAAGAGGGGGGAUAACAUCCGGAAACGGGUGCUAAUACCGCAUAGUUUUCUUGAUCGCAUGAUUGAGAAAGGAAAGACGGCCUUUGUGCUGUCGCUUAUGGAUGGACCCGCGGCGUAUUAGUUAGUUGGUGAGGUAACGGCUCACCAAGACGAUGAUACGUAGCCGACCUGAGAGGGUGAUCGGCCACAUUGGGACUGAGACACGGCCCAAACUCCUACGGGAGGCAGCAGUAGGGAAUCUUCCGCAAUGGACGAAAGUCUGACGGAGCAACGCCGCGUGAGUGAAGAAAGGUUUUCGGAUCGUAAAACUCUGUUGUCAGAGAAGAACAAGUUGGAGAGUAACUGCUCCAGCCUUGACGGUAUCUGACCAGAAAGCCACGGCUAACUACGUGCCAGCCGCCGC